AACGAACGCUGGCGGCAGGCCUAACACAUGCAAGUCGAACGCCGUAGCAAUACGGAGUGGCAGACGGGUGCGUAACACGUGGGAACAUACCCUUUGGUUCGGAAUAACUCAGGGAAACUUGAGCUAAUACCGGAUAAGCCCUUACGGGGAAAGAUUUAUCGCCAUAGGAUUGGCCCGCGUCUGAUUAGCUAGUUGGUGAGGUAACGGCUCACCAAGGCGACGAUCAGUAGCUGGUCNGAGAGGAUGAUCAGCCACACUGGGACUGAGACACGGCCCAGACUCCUACGGGAGGCAGCAGUGGGGAAUAUUGGACAAUGGGCGCAAGCCUGAUCCAGCCAUGCCGCGUGAGUGAUGAAGGCCUUAGGGUUGUAAAGCUCUUUUACCCGGGAAGAUAAUGACGGUACCGGGAGAAUAAGCCCCGGCUAACUUCGUGCCAGCCGCCGCAGUAAU
rnacentral:rRNA from 1 species